rnacentral:rRNA from 1 species
UGGGGAAUUGUUCGCAAUGGGCGCAAGCCUGACGACGCAACGCCGCGUGGAGGAUGAAGACCUUCGGGUCGUAAACUCCUUUCGAUCGAGACGAAUGGACCUUGGGUUAACAGCCGAAGGUAAUGACGGUACCGAGAGAAGAAGCCCCGGCUAACUCCGUGCCAGCAGCCGCGGUAAUACGGGGGGGGCAAGCGUUGUUCGGAAUUACUGGGCGUAAAGGGCUCGUAGGUGGCCAACUAAGUCAGACGUGAAAUCCCUCGGCUUAACCGGGGAACUGCGUCUGAUACUGGAUGGCUUGAGUUCGGGAGAGGGAUGCGGAAUUCCAGGUGUAGCGGUGAAAUGCGUAGAUAUCUGGAGGAACACCGGUGGCGAAGGCGGCAUCCUGGACCGACACUGACACUGAGGAGCGAAAGCCAGGGGAGCAAACGG